CGGAGGAAAAGAAACUAACAAGGAUUCCCCUAGUAACGGCGAGUGAAGAGGGAAGAGCCCAAGAUUGAAAGCUGGCGUCUUUGGCGUCCGCAUUGUAAUCUCAAGAAGUGUUUUCCGCUUCGGACCAUGCCUAAGUCCCUUGGAAAAGGGCAUCAUAGAGGGUGAUAAUCCCGUACAUGGCAUGGAGCGCCCGAAGCUUUGUGAUACACUUUCUAAGAGUCGAGUUGUUUGGGAAUGCAGCUCAAAAUGGGUGGUAAAUGCCAUCUAAGGCUAAAUAUUGGGGAGAGACCGAUAGCGAACAAGUACAGUGAUGGAAAGAUGAAAAGAACUUUGAAAAGAGAGUUAAACAGUACGUGAAAUUGCCAAAAGGGAAGGGUAGGAGGUCAGAGAUGCGGUCUGGGAUUCAGCCUUGCUUUUGCUGGGUGUUUUUCUCAGAUUGCAGGCCAACGUCGGUUUUGGGCGCUGGAGAAGGGUGGAAGGAAUGUGGCACCUCUCGGGGUGUGUUAUAGCCUUCUACUGGAUACAGUGACCGAGACCGAGGACAGCAGCGUACUCGCAAGAGCGGGCCUUCGGGCACCUUUACGCUUAGGGCGUUGGCAUAAUGGCCCUCUACCACCCGUCUUGAAAA
rnacentral:rRNA from 1 species